GCUCUGGCUGUAUCACCCAAGCUGUAGUUCGGUAGUGUGAUCUUGGCUCACUGCAACCUGUACCUCUGGGGCUCAAGCCAUCCUCCUAACUCAGCCUCCUGAGGAGCUGGGACUACAGCUUAGGUGGGAUAACCCAGGUAGAUUGCAAGAUGGUAAGAAGUGUAUAUAUUCAUCAUGAGGGCCCCUAUGGGGGCGGAAGGCAGGAGCUGGAGUUCAGAGCUGGGAUUGAUUGCACGGAGUGAGGAUUCCUGAUGGAGUUUCGCUGUUGUUACCCAGACUGGAAUGCAAUGGCAUGAUCUUGGCUCACCGAAACCUCCGCCUUCUGGGUUCAAGCAAUUCUCCUGCCUCAGCCUCCCAAGUAGCUGGAACUAUAGCUACAAGCAAAGCACUGGGAAUGGCAGAAUGCUUCCCUCGAUGGAUGGAAGGAGACUGGAUCCCUGUGUCACUGACUGGAAGAGCCCGGCUAAGCAAAGCUGCUAGCUCAUGAAAGACUGCGAGGAGAGAAGAGAGCUUAAUCCAGCAGAUCCUGUCCCACUUGGAACCUGGCUAUGAGUGAGAAAACAUCUGUGGUUGGAAAAUGGGGCUGGUGAUUCAGGCCUGUUUGGGGCUUGAAGAAGAUGCUCUUAAACGCUUUGCUCAACAAACACCUCCCUUCUGCAAGGAGUUGAGAGGUCAUCUGUCUGUCUGCUUUGACACUUUCACCCAGUAAACUUCAGGGCUGAAGACACUUUCCCCAUAAAUUGGAGUGAGCUCGGCACAAACUGUCCUUGAAUUUGACCAUCACUGACUCACCGAAGGUCUGAGUAGAGGAGAAGGCAAAUGCAGACAAACAGGCACUGAGGACUUUGCCAUCCCAGACCUGUGUCAUGUAAACAGACUGUCUGCUUCACAGCCAAGGAAUGAGCCCUGGACGUGGGUCGGAACUGGAAUCUUAACGGCUAAUACCCAGAGCCUUUGACUGUGGACGACUGUGUUCAAAGGGGCAGACUGCCCACUACUAGGUCACGGAGGAGAAGCAGGAUGUGGGGAAAGAGUGUGGUUUUGGAAUCAGACGCAACUGGUCCCCGCCACUUACUCAGACUUGUGAUCCUGGAUGAAAAAGUCUCUUAUUCUUUUUAAGGCUCAGUUUCCCCAGCUGUGAAUCUGACAUAACGCUAUGGACCUCAAAUGGCUUUACAAGCAAAACAAUUUAUAAAACAAUUUAUCCAGGCACAUAGCACAGUGCUAGCACAUAGAUAUAUAAGAGUUUUUUCUCCGUUCCUUCUACAUGGAGGGAGAGGCAUCUGUUGUCUCUUCAAGCUAAUUAACUUGAAAAUAGUCAAUAGCAACCAUUUCUUAAAUUCCUCGUGUGAGCCAUUUAGUUUUUGCAACAACUGCAAGACAGACAGUAUUAUUCCCAUUUUACAGAUAUGAGCAUUGAGGCUCAGGAAGUACACCAGAUAUAGUGACUUUGAUCUUUUCAUUGCCCUGUCAUUAAAGGGAGAGAGAGAACAAGACCAAAAGAAACAGUUGAAAGAAUAAAUGUCAAACAUAGGAGGCUGGAGGCAUAGUCUCUAACCCCAGCCUAGCCCUGGAUAAUAGCAUUUUGCUCUUGCUAUAGCUAUAGCAGACACCAGCUGGGUGCCCUCCCCCCACCGUUUUAUUCAUUUGUAUGUUCAAUGAGCAAUUUAUCUAUUGCUAAUUCCUUAGCAAGCAUUUACUCUGAGCUUUCUUUUAUUAUUUCUGUGAUUAUUAUUCAUUUUAGAGUCAGGGUUAUGCCCUUAUGUUGCCUAGGCUGGGGUGCAGUGGUUAUUUACAGGUGUGAUUCCACUGCUGAUCAGCAUGGGAGUUUUGACCUGAUUUAUUUCUGACCUGGGCCCAUUCGCCCUUCCUUAGGCAACCUGUGAUGCCCCACUCCUGGGAGGUCACUGUAUUGAUGCUGAACGUAGUAUGGCACGGCACACUACAGCCCAGAACUCCUGGGCUCAAGUGAUCCUUCUGCCACAGCCUUCCCAGCAACUGGGACUACAAAUGCAUGCCAUUGUGCUCAGCUACCAUGAACUUCCUAUGUACUCAAAUCCUGCUACUCAAAACAUGAUUCCUAAGCCAGAAGCAUCAGCAUCACUGGGAGCUUAAUAGCAAUGCUGAUUCUCAGGCCCAGCCUCCGACUAACUGAACUAGAGAAUCUGCAUUUUAACAAGAUCCCCAGGUGAUUCACAGCAUAUAUGAAAGAUUGAAAAUAGCUAUCCUGGAUACUUUUCUUUCCUUUUUUUUGAGUCACUCUGUCGCACAGGAUGAAGUGCAGUGGUAUGAUCUUGGUUCACUGCAACCUUCCACUCCCAGGUUUCAAGCGAUUCUCCUGCCUCAGCCUCCCAAGUAGUUGGGGUUACAGGUGCCUGCCACCACUUUUAGUAGAGAUGGGGUUUCACUAUGUUGCCCAGGCUGGUCUCGAACUACUUACCUCAGGUGAUCCACCCACCUCGGCCUCCCAAAGUGCCGGGAUUACAGGUGUGAGCCACUGCACCCAGCCUCCUUGAUGCUUUUCUAUCUUGGUGAAAAACUUACUGGGAGAACUCCCAGUACGCAUACCUUCCUUACUGUGAGUAGAAAAACUCAAAAAGUCGAAGUGUUUUUUCAAUUCUCUCACUCAACAAUAAUUACCACUCCUGUGACCAACUCUGUGAGGAUUUCUCCCCAACAACAAGCAAACAAUCAUGUCUGUAGCAGACACCAGCUGGGUGCCCUCCAAUCCAAUUCAAUUCUGAUGGGAGGCAGUGUCAGAUUCUGCGGGUUAGGGGCUCAGUCCUACAAGGCUGCCCCCAACUUGUGAUACCAGUCAAAAGCCCCAGAUUGUUUUAGAUGUGCUUCUGACUGAGCAGCUAUAAGUCAGGGAUCCCCUGAACCCCUUUUUGUGUGUGACUAAUUUGCUGGAGCAGAGCUUACAGAACUCAAGAAAACACUUAACGUUUAUUGGUUUAUUACCAUAUUAGUUCGUUUUCAUGCUGCUAGUAAAGACAUACCUGAGACUCGGUAAU